rfam:Rhizobium tibeticum isolate CCBAT85039 genome assembly, contig: CCBAT85039_contig13
UUGUGAGCCGCGCCAAGCGGACGCGGCGGCGCGAAAGAAUGCCCGGAUUUUUCCGCUUUCCCCGGGUGGCCAACGAAACGGCACUCGAGCUUUCGCCCGUCCGGUUC